rnacentral:rRNA from 1 species
UGCGUAGGGCGCAAGCGUUGUCCGGAAUUAUUGGGCGUAAAGAGCUCGUAGGCGGUUUGUCGCGUCUGUCGUGAAAUCCCCCGGCUUAACCUGGGAACUGCGUCUGAUACUGGGAGGCUAGAGUGCGGGAGAGGGAUGCGGAAUUCCAGGUGUAGCGGUGAAAUGCGUAGAUAUCUGGAGGAACACCGGUGGCGAAGGCGGCAUCCUGGACCGACACUGACGCUGAGGAGCGAAAGCCAGGGGAGCAAACGGG